rnacentral:tRNA from 2 species
GGGCUCGUAGCUCAGCUUGGCAGAGCAUCUGGCUUUUAACCAGGUGGUCGUGGGUUCAAGUCCCACCGAGCCCG